rnacentral:lncRNA from 1 species
UCGCCCUUUGUUGUUGCCCUUUUCCGCUUCUUAGAUAUCUCUUUGGCUUCAGUUGCUCCGAAUUCCUUUAGGUUUUUGAUAGGGUUUCUUUCCCUUUGCCAUGUAGUUGAAGUUCAGCCAUCCCUUUCUUUGUUUAGGCAUUUCUACACUUUCAAGUGUCACCCUUCGGCAAAGGACUGGUGGUAUUUCUCCCCUCAGUUUGGCAAGAAGGGGUUGCUGAAAGGCGCUCCCUCUUCAAUCCACAACUGAAAGGGAAAAUACCUCUUCGUCCACUG